rnacentral:rRNA from 1 species
GACGUAAGGCGCGAGCGUUGUCCGGAUUUAUUGGGCGUAAAGAGCUCGUAGGCGGUCUGUCGCGUCGGAUGUGAAAGCCCGGGGCUUAACCCCGGGUCUGCAUUCGAUACGGGCAGACUAGAGUGUGGUAGGGGAGAUCGGAAUUCCUGGUGUAGCGGUGAAAUGCGCAGAUAUCAGGAGGAACACCGGUGGCGAAGGCGGAUCUCUGGGCCAUUACUGACGCUGAGGAGCGAAAGCGUGGGGAGCGAACAGG